GAUGAGCCCGCGUCGGAUUAGCUAGUUGGUGGGGUAAAGGCCUACCAAGGCGACGAUCCGUAGCUGGUCUAAGAGGAUGAUCAGCCACAUUGGGACUGAGACACGGCCCAAACUCCUACGGGAGGCAGCAGUGGGGAAUAUUGGACAAUGGGCGCAAGCCUGAUCCAGCCAUGCCGCGUGAGUGAUGAAGGCCCUAGGGUUGUAAAGCUCUUUCACCGGGGACGAUAAUGACGGUACCCGGAGAAGAAGCCCCGGCUAACUUCGUGCCAGCAGCCGCGGUAAUACGAAGGGGGCUAGCGUUGUUCGGAAUUACUGGGCGUAAAGCGCACGUAGGCGGACAUUUAAGUCAGGGGUGAAAUCCCGGGGCUCAACCCCGGAACGGCCUUUGAUACUGGGUGUCUUGAGACCGGAAGAGGACAGCGGAACUGCGAGUGUAGAGGUGAAAUUCGUAGAUAUUCGCAAGAACACCAGUGGCGAAGGCGGCUGUCUGGUCCGGUUCUGACGCUGAGGCGCGAAAGCGUGGGGAGCAAACAGGAUUAGAUACCCUGGUAGUCCACGCC
rnacentral:rRNA from 1 species